rnacentral:rRNA from 1 species
CCUACGGGAGGCAGCAGUGAGGAAUAUUGGUCAAUGGGCGCGAGCCUGAACCAGCCAAGUCGCGUGAGGGAAGACGGUCCUAUGGAUUGUAAACCUCUUCUGCCGGGGAGCAAAAGACGCCACGCGUGGCGUUCCGAGAGUAUCCGUAGAAAAAGCCACGGCUAACUCCGUGCCAGCAGCCGCGGUAAUACGGAGGAUGCGAGCGUUAUCGGGAUUUAUUGGGUUUAAAGGGUGCGCAGGCGGAAGCUAAAGUCAGCGGGAAAAUCGAGAGGCUAAACCUCUGCGAGCCGUUGAAACUGGUUUUCUUGAGUGAACGAGAGGUAAGCGGAAUGCGUGGUGUAGCGGUGAAAUGCGUAGAUAUUAGGAGGAACACCAGUGGCGAAGGCGGCUUACUGGACUGUAACUGACGUUGAGGCUCGAAAGCGUGGGGAGCAAACAGGAUUAGAUACCCGAGUAGUC